CCCCUUUCCUGGAGACCUCCUGUGCCCUGGACCUCCCCAAACUGGGAACACAAGGAUGGAAGCAGGAGGAUGAGGAGGUCCUGGAGCAGCCCUGGCUCCUGGGCGAUGGAUGGGAAUUUCCAAGUCUCUGCUCUGUUCCAAACCCUGACGUCACCACUGGGACCAGGCUGGUUCCUUCUGGGGUUGGAGACCCAGGAGCUGCCUCCAGCUUCAGCCAUUGAGAAGAAUUGAUUUUAUUUUCUGUGGAUGUCCCCGUGGGCUGCUGGCAUGCUGACAAUGUCCCCAUCUGAGGUCUGCAGCUCUCCUGACCCGGAUGAGGAAGGUGGUACCAGGAUGGGGGGAUGCUCCACGGGGAGCCCAUCACCCUGGGAGGGCUGCAGGAAGAGGAGGUGCCCUGGCAAGGGUCCUCUCCUCCCAGCCACGCUGGCCAGCAGGCACCAAAACCUCCAACAGUGGUGUCAAGAAGAGGAAAAA